UAGCCGAUCAUCCCCGAGCAGCAGCAGAUGAACAGCGGGCUAUGACUGUCGGAGCUCCGGAGUUUCUUCAGCAUGAUGCGUUUUUCUCCAAGACGCAACUUUUAGACAAAACUACUGACGAAAACUCACAACACCGAGUGAAGUCCAGCAGUGUGAGGUGAAGGUGUUUUCCUGCCAUGGUAGAUAAGAUGUCCAGUUUCCUGCACAUUGGGGACAUUUGCUCCCUUUAUGCUGAGGGAUCCACCAGUGGCUUUAUCUCCACGCUGGGGUUGGUUGAUGAUCGCUGUGUGGUUCAGCCUGAUGCAGGAGACCUGAACAACCCACCAAAGAAGUUCAGAGACUGUUUGUUCAGACUGUGUCCGAUGAACAGGUAUUCAGCACAGAAACAGUUUUGGAAAGCUGCCAAACCAGGAGGAACGAGUACUACUGACACGGUUCUGCUCAACAAGCUACAUCACGCUGCUGAUUUAGAGAAGAAACAAAAUGAAUCGGAGAAUAAGAAGUUGCUGGGGACCGUCAUCCAGUAUGGAAAUGUCAUCCAGCUGCUCCACCUGAAGAGUAAUAAAUAUCUGACUGUGAAUAAGCGUCUGCCGGCUCUGUUGGAGAAAAAUGCCAUGCGAGUGACUCUGGAUGCUGCAGGAAACGAAGGCUCCUGGUUCUACAUCCAACCGUUCUACAAGCUACGCUCUAUAGGAGACAGCGUGGUAAUAGGUGAUAAGGUUGUGUUAAAUCCUGUGAAUGCUGGACAGCCUCUUCAUGCCAGCAGCCAUCAGCUUGUAGAUAAUCCAGGAUGUAAUGAGGUGAACUCUGUCAACUGCAGCACAAGCUGGAAAAUUGUCCUGUUCAUGAAAUGGAGUGAUAAUCAGGAGGUCAUUCUGAAAGGCGGGGAUGUUGUUCGUUUGUUCCAUGCAGAGCAGGAGAAGUUUCUAACAUGUGAUGAUCAUCGUAGGAAGCAGUAUGUCUUCUUGCGGACAACUGGACGCCAAUCUGCCACUUCAGCCACCAGCAGCAAAGCACUCUGGGAGGUGGAGGUGGUGCAGCAUGACCCCUGUAGAGGAGGAGCCGGUUACUGGAACAGUCUGUUCAGGUUUAAACACCUAGCGACUGGUCAUUACCUCGCUGCAGAGAUAAACCCUGACUAUGAGGAGGAAUGUCUUGAGUCCCGCUCCUCUUUGGACUCUGAACAGGAAGUGAUGCGAGUCCGUGUACGGAACGUGCAGGAUAAGGUGAUGUACACGCUGGUGUCUGUUCCUGAUGGCAAUGACAUUUCCUCCAUCUUUGAGUUGGACCCUACCACUCUGAGAGGGGGGGACUCACUGGUGCCCAGGAACUCAUAUGUGAGGCUCAGACACCUCUGUACGAACACAUGGGUCCACAGCACCAACCACCCCAUAGACAAGGAGGAGGAGAAACCUGUCAUGCUGAGGAUCGGGACGUCUCCGCUGAAGGAGGAUAAGGAAGCGUUCGCUAUAGUGCCGGUGUCUCCGGCCGAGGUCCGAGAUCUGGAUUUCGCCAAUGAUGCCAGUAAAGUUUUGGCCUCCAUCGCUGGCAAACUGGAGAAGGGCACCAUCACUCAGAAUGAGAGGAGGGCGGUGACGAAGCUGCUGGAGGACCUGGUUUAUUUCGUGGUGGACAUUCCCAACAGCGCUCAGGAUGUCCUGGAGAUCACCGUGAACAAACCCAACAGAGAGAGACAGAAACUCAUGAGGGAGCAGAACAUCCUCAAACAGAUCUUCAAGCUCCUGCAGGCCCCAUUCACUGACAGCGGUGAUGGUCCCAUGCUGCGAUUAGAGGAGCUGGCAGACCAGCGCCAUGCCCCCUUCCGCCAUAUCUGCCGCCUCUGCUACAGAGUUCUGCGUCAUUCACAGCAGGACUACCGCAAAAACCAGGAGUACAUAGCGAAGCAGUUCCGCUUCAUGCAGAAGCAGAUUGGUUAUGACGUGUUGGCCGAAGACACCAUCACGGCUCUGCUGCACAACAACCGCAAACUGCUGGAGAAACACAUCACUGCUGCUGAGAUCGACACCUUCGUCAGUCUUGUUCGCAAAAACAGAGAGCCCAGGUUCCUGGAUUAUUUAUCGGAUCUGUGUGUCUCCAUGAGCAAAUCCAUUCCUGUGACACAGGAGCUGAUCUGUAACGCGGUGCUGGAUCCAGCCAACUCCGACAUCCUCAUUGAGACCAAGUUAGUGCUGUCGCGGUUCGAGGUGGCAGGGGCGGUGCUGGGGGAGAGUGCAGAGGAGGAAGAGGAGGAUGAGGAGGAGGUUUGGUUGUUCUGGAAGGACAGCAGUGGAGAGGUAAAGAGUAAAAGCAUCAGAGAACUCGCUCAGGAUGCCAAAGAGGGACACGCUGAGGACCAGGAGGUGAUCAGCUAUUACAGGUACCAGUUGAACUUGUUUGCUCGGAUGUGUCUGGAUCGUCAGUAUUUGGCUAUCAAUAAGAUCUCGGCUCAGCUGGAUGUGGAUCUGAUAUUACGCUGCAUGUCGGAUGAAGAUUUGCCCUUUGACCUCCGAGCCUCUUUCUGCCGUAUGAUGUUGCACAUGCAUGUGGACCGUGACCCCCAGGAACAGGUCACGCCCGUCAAAUAUGCCCGCCUGUGGUCCGAGAUCCCAUCCCAGAUCUCCAUCGAUGAUUAUGAUAAUGACGGGAUGACACGUGACGAGGUGAAGGAGAAGUUUUCCCAUACCAUGGAGUUUGUGGAGAAUUACCUGCGUGACGUCGUGUGCCAGAGUUUCCCUUUUUCAGACAAAGAGAAAAAUAAACUCACAUUUGAGGUGGUGAACCUGGCCAGGAAUCUCAUCUACUUUGGCUUCUAUAACUUCAGUGACCUGCUCCGGCUGACCAAGAUCCUGCUGGCCAUCCUGGACUGUGUCCACGUCAGCGCAUCCUUCUCCGUCAAACUGGACCGAGAGCCAGGAAAAGGAGGAGAUAACCGUCAUGAUAACCGGUCACGAGACCACAAAAAGCUUCAGCAGUCAGGACCUCCAGGCAGUAACGUAAUGCGGUCCAUCCACGGUGUGGGUGAACUGAUGACUCAGGUUGUCCUGAGAGGAAGCGGCUUCCUGCCCGCCACAAGCCGUAAUUCUCCAGACCGAGACUCUGUGAAAGCUCAAGCAGAACCUCAGAAACAGGACAUACUGGUGAUGGACACCAAGCUGAAGAUCAUAGAGAUACUGCAGUUUAUUCUGAAUGUGAGGUUGGAUUAUCGUAUUUCGUGCCUCCUGAGUAUCUUUAAGAGAGAGUUUGAUGAGAGCAACUCACAGACAGAACCGUCAAUCAGCCCGGAAUCACAGGCCAGUGUUCAGGGGGCACUGGACUUUGAGCACAUUGAGGAGCAGGCAGAGGGGAUAUUUGGAGGAAGUGAGGAGAACACCCCACUGGAUCUAGAUGAUCAUGGUGGCCGGACAUUUCUUAGGGUGCUCCUCCACCUGACCAUGCACGACUAUCCUCCCUUAGUGUCCAGAGCUCUGCACCUCCUCUUCAGACAUUUCAGCCAGAGACAGGAGGUCCUGCAGGCCUUCAAACAGGUGCAGCUCCUGGUCACCAGUCAGGAUGUGGAGAACUAUAAACAGAUUAAAGCUGAUCUGGACCAGCUGCGGUCUAUAGUGGAGAAAUCAGAGCUGUGGGUGUAUAAGAGACAGGGGUCAGAGUCAGGACUGCACACAGGAGAGGUCAUCACCACGGAAACACAUCACAAGGUCAACACACCACUUACAUACAACCAGAGUGACUCCAUUUCUGAUGGAUUACACAAACCCAAAGUGGAGAGCACCAGCAGCUCCAACUACCGACUCAUGAAGGAGAUCCUCCUGAGACUCAGUAGGUUGUGUGUGAUGGAGUGUCUCUCUGGAAGGAAGAACAAGAAGCAACAGCAGCGUCUCCUUAGGAACAUGGGGGCUCACUCAGUGGUCCUGGAGCUUCUACAGAUCCCUUAUGAAAAGGGUGAGGAUGUGUGGAUGCAGGAGAUCAUGACCCUCGCUCAUCAGUUCCUCCAGAACUUCUGUGCAGGAAACCAGCAGAACCAGGCUCUACUGCACAAACACAUUAACCUGUUCCUCAACCCUGGAAUCCUAGAGGCUGUGACCAUGCAGCACAUCUUCAUGAAUAACUUCCAGCUGUGCAGUGAGAUUAAUGAUCGUGUGGUUCAGCACUUUGUUCACUGCAUUGAGACGCACGGACGCAGCGUCCACUACCUCAAAUUCCUCCAGACCAUCGUCAAAGCCGAGAACAAGUUCAUCAAGAAGUGUCAGGACAUCGUAAUGGCUGAGCUGGUGAAUGCAGGUGAGGAUGUCCUGGUGUUCUAUAAUGAUCGUGCGUCGUUCCAGACGUUAGUGCAGAUGAUGCGUCUCGAGAGGGAGCGUCUAGACGAGAACAGCGCUCUCAGGUAUCAUAUCCACCUGGUGGAGCUGUUGGCCGUGUGUACAGAGGGUAAAAACGUCUACACAGAGAUAAAGUGUAAUUCUCUUCUCCCACUGGAUGACAUUGUGCGUGUGGUCACACAUGAGGACUGCAUCCCUGAGGUGAAGAUGGCGUAUGUGAACUUCCUGAAUCACUGCUACGUGGACACGGAGGUGGAGAUGAAGGAGAUCUACACCAGUAAUCACAUGUGGAAGCUGUUUGAUGAUUUCCUGGUGGAUAUCUGCAGAGUGUGUAACAACACAAGUGACCGUAAGCAUGCAGACACGGUUCUGGAGCGGUAUGUGACUGAGACCAUCAUGAGCAUCGUCACCACCUUCUUCAGCUCACCAUUUUCUGACCAGAGCACCAGCCUGCAGACUCGGCAGCCGGUGUUUGUGCAGCUGCUGCAGGGUGUGUUCCGUGUGUAUCACUGUACCUGGCUGGUCCCGAGUCAGAAGGGCAGUGUGGAGGCCUGUAUAAAGGUUCUGAGUGACGUGGCUAAAGGGCGAGCGAUUGCUAUCCCAGUGGAUCUGGACUGUCAGGUUAAUAAUCUGUUCAUCAAGUCCAACAACAUUGUUCAGAAAACAGCUCUGAGCUGGAGACUGUCUGCUCGUAAUGCUGCUCGGAGAGACUCGGUCCUCACGGCCUCCAGAGACUACCGCAACAUCAUCGAGAGGCUACAGGACAUAGUCUCAGCGUUAGAGGAGCGUUUGAGGCCUCUGGUCCAGGCGGAGCUGUCUGUGUUGGUGGAUGUUCUCCAUCGUCCAGAGCUACUGUUUCCUGAACACACUGAAGCUCAUCGCAAGUGUGAGAGCGGAGGAUUCAUCUGCAAGCUGAUAAAACACACAAAGCAGCUGCUGGAGGAGAACGAGGAACGUCUGUGCAUCAAAGUUCUGCAGACACUCCGAGAAAUGAUGACCAAAGACCGAGGAUAUGGAGAGAAGCUCAUGGCGUAUGAUGAUGAGAUGGAUGUUACUGAGCAGGUGGAUGUGAAUCUCCCACCAAAACUACAGGAGGAUCACAGAAGGGGCGAGGCUCUGAGGCAGUUACUGGUGAACCGUUACUAUGGUAACUUCAGGAGCGGAGGGAGAAGAGACAGUUUGACCACCUUCACUAACUCAGGACUUACACCUGCAGGUCCAAACAAGAACCAAUCAGGUCGAGCUGAGAUGUCUUUAACAGAAGUCCAGUGUCAUUUGGACCGUGAGGGGGCAUCUGACCUGGUCAUCGAUCUCAUCAUGAACACAAACAGUGACCGCGUCUUUCACGAGAGCAUCCUAUUGGCUAUUGCUCUACUGGAGGGCGGGAACACAACUAUACAGCAUUCGUUUUAUAAACGUCUCACUGAAGAUAAGAAGUCAGAGAAGUUCUUCCGGGUGUUUUAUGACCGAAUGAAAGCUGCCCAGCUGGAGAUCAAAGCCACCGUUACCGUAAACACUAGCGAUCUUGGCAACAAGCGCCGUGACGACUAUGCUGACCGAGACACACCUCAACGGCGUAGAGGAAAGGACUCGGUGGUCAUGGUAACAGACGAUGCUCGGGAACAGCUCCUGGAAGCGUCUGCAGUGACUAAAAAGGCGUUUGGCUCAUACCGACGUGAUGCUGAUCCUGAAGAGGUGUACGGUCACACUGACGGUGACAAGGGGGGUGGGGACAAAGGGGCGGAGCAAGGCGAGAUGAGCCCGGUCAUCCUCAUCAUGCAGCCAAUACUGCGCUUCCUUCAGCUGCUGUGUGAGAACCACAACAGAGACCUUCAGAACUUCCUGCGUUGCCAGAACAAUAAAAAUAACUAUAACCUGGUGUGUGAGACGCUGCAGUUCCUCGACUGUAUCUGUGGCAGCACCACGGGGGGUCUGGGCCUGCUGGGGCUCUACAUCAACCAGCACAACGUCGCUCUCAUUAAUCAGACUGUAGAGAGCCUCACUGAGUACUGUCAGGGACCCUGCCAUGACAACCAGAACUGCAUUGCAACUCAUGAGUCUAAUGGCAUCGACAUCAUCAUUGCUCUGAUCCUGAAUGACAUCAAUCCUCUUGGGAGGAAGAGGAUAGAUCUGGUCCUGGAGCUGAAGAAUAACGCCUCCAAGCUGCUGUUGGCCAUCAUGGAGAGUCGCCAUGACAGUGAGAAUGCAGAGAGGAUCCUGUACAACAUGAGACCCAAAGAGCUGGUGGAGGUGAUAAAGAAGGCGUAUCAGCAGGGAGAGACAGACUUCGAUGACGAUGAGGAGAAUGCAGAGGAACAUGCUGCUUCACCUCGGAAUGUUGGCCACAACAUCUACAUCCUUGCACAUCAGCUGUCUCGUCACAAUAAGGAGCUGCAGGUGCUUCUGAAGCCCACAGGAGAAGAUCAGGCUGUGGAGUUUUACACGGAACACACGGCACAGAUCGAGAUUGUCCGUCAGGACCGCACCAUGGAGCAGAUUGUGUUUCCGGUCCCACAUAUCUGCUCAUUCCUGACAAACGAGUCGAAACUGCGUGUGUAUUACAGCACAGAGAGAGACGAGCAGGGCAGCAAAAUCAAUGACUUCUUCCUCAGAGCAGACGACCUGUACAGUGAGAUGAGGUGGCAGAAAAAACUUCGAGCCCAGCCGGUGUUGUACUGGUGCAGUAGGAACAUGUCGUUCUGGAGUAAUGUGUCAUUUAACCUGGCUGUGCUGAUUAAUGUGCUGGUGGCGUUUUUCUAUCCACUGGAGAGUGUAAGCGAUAGUCACUUGGAGCCAUCAGUGUCUCUGUUACUGUGGGGGUGUGUGUUUGGCUCGUUGGUGUUUGUGUUACUGUGUCCCAGUCCGAAUGCAGUGAGGGUUCUAGUUAUCUCUUUCGUCCUGCGCCUAGGGUUCUCAUUAGGCCUGCAUCACAUGCUGUCUCUGCUGGGAGCCUUUAACGUGUGUAAUAAGAUCGUGUUCCUCAUGAGUUUUGUGGGAAACAGAGGGACAUUUACACGUGGUUACAGAGCCAUGGUGAUGGACAGGGAGUUCCUCUUUCACCUGCUUUAUCUUCUCAUCUGUACACUGGGCCUCUGUGGACACGUCUUCUUCUACAGCUUACUGUUGUUUGACCUGGUGAACAGAGAGGAAACGUUGCUGAACGUUAUUAAAAGUGUGACGAGAAACGGUCGCUCCAUCGUCCUCACUGCUGUACUGGGACUCAUCCUGGUUUAUCUCUUCUCCAUCGUGGGCUACAUCUUCUUUAAAGAUGAUUUUAUACUGGAGGUGGACCGUAUCUCUAACGCCACUCUGGAGGAGGGGGUGAAUCAAGCGAGCAGUUUCCUGUCUGAUGGUUCGUGUGUGUUGGAGAACGAGACGUGUCUGUCUGUGAGCACAGAGGAAGAUGAUGUUGAGAGAGCGUGUGACUCUCUGUGGAUGUGUAUGAUCACUGUUCUGAGCCACGGUCUGAGGAGUGGAGGAGGAGUCGGGGACGUCCUACGCAAACCUUCAAAAGAGGAGCCCUUGUUUGCUGCAAGAGUGAUUUACGACCUGCUGUUCUUCUUCCUGGUCAUCAUCAUUGUGUUGAAUCUGAUCUUUGGUGUCAUCAUCGACACGUUUGCUGACCUGAGAAGUGAAAAACAGAGAAAAGAAGAAGUGCUGAAGACCACCUGCUUUAUAUGUGGGUUGGAGAGAGAUAAGUUUGACAACAAGACAGUGACAUUUGAAGAGCACAUUAAAGAGGAACACAACCUCUGGCACUACCUGUACUUCAUCGUGCUGGUGCGUGUGAAAGACUCAACGGAGUACACCGGCCCGGAGAGCUACGUCGCUCAGAUGAUCAAGACAGGAACACAAUCUGGACUGGUUCCCCCGUAUGAGAGCGAUGUCUCUGGUGAGCAGUGACUCAGAAGGAGAACAGAACGAACUUCGCUCCCUGCAGGAUAAACUUGAGUCCACCAUGAGACUCGUCACCAAUCUGACCAAUCAGCUCACAGAGCUCAAAGAGCAGAUGACUGAACAAAGGAAGCACAAGCAGCGGAUUGGUCUACUGGGAAACCCUGCCCACCUCAAUAUUAAUCCACAGCAGCCUGCCUGAUGGACGGAGACAGGAAAUAGUGUGUGUGUGAUUAAUCCGGAUGCAGCCUUAAAGGAUGAGGUUUUUAUAGGGUUAUUGUGUUAGUGUUUUUUCUAACACAUUUAUAUUUUUGAUGUGCAUUUGUACUUUUUCCCUGUUUGCAGAGCGCUGGUACUGAACCGUGUUCCUCACCACACCAGAACCUCAUUUAUAAACCAGAACUUCGUUUAUAAACCGUCUACUUUACAGUGAUUUGUGAAAGGACUAUUUAAAAAUGUACCGCGCCGUUCCAUUCCCUGUGUGCACAGAAACCUUUUAUAUCAUAAUCAUGUCUAUCUUUAGGAUUCAUUUAAUGCACAUCUUUAUAAAUAAAGCCUCUGAUUUUAUGGAUGAAAA